rnacentral:rRNA from 1 species
UGGUGGUAGGGGAACGUUGUGCAUUAGGGUGAAGAUGGACCGGAAGGACCAUUGGACGAAGCACAAGUGAGAAUGACGGGAUGAGUAACGAUAAAUGGGGUGAGAAUCCCCAUCGCCGUAAGCCUAAGGGUUCCUGGGGAAGGUUCGUCCGCCCAGGGUUAGUCGGUCCUAAGCCGAGGCCGAAAGGCGUAGGUGAUGGACAGCAGGUUAAUAUUCCUGCACCGGUAUGUUCUCGUUUGACGAUGCGGUGACGCAGAAGACUAGUUCUACGGGCUAAUGGCUAUGCUCGGUGGGCUAUGUAGGCUGGGGAGGUAGGUAAGUCCGCCGCCCCGUGAAGGCUGAGGUAGUCCAGGUAAGUGAAACUUCGGUGGAUCUGAACUGAAUGAUGUCCUGCUGCCGGGAAAAACCCGCUAAGGAGAGAAUGUGCCGACCGUACCGCAAACCGACACAGGUAGGCGAG